AGUCAUUUUCAAUUUUCUCGACCUUUUCGGUCAACUCUUGAAUUGGUUAGGUAGAGUUCGAUUCCAUGAGCGCAUAGGCGUAAACAGAUCUUAUUUCCGAGUCCGAACGGAGAAGUUAGAGUCGUUUAAAGUUGGUGGCAUUUUGGUAAUAUUACCAAAAUGCUAUAAGUGGGAGGGAAACCUCCAGAAAAGGGGGAGGCUUUCAGAAAAUGAAAGGGGGAGAGCUGCCUAACCCGUUUUAGGGAGAAAUUGAUCCAUAAAACCACCAAACUUGACCCGUUUGUAUCUUUUUCAUCCGAGCUCCGUUUUGGAUGAUCUUGGUGUCCAUGGAAAGCUCUUGACGAGCUCUACAUCUCUGUGAUUUUAGAUUUUCCCAUUUCUUUUCCCAUCUUUUCAGUUCGAGGUCGCAAAGUCCACGACCUUGCCAGCGGAUUUAUCAUCUUUCCGGCGAUUCCGGCAACGAUUUCCUUCGAGUGAGUGUGAUAUUGAGAUUCUUAGCAUGGAUGAUGGAUAUGUAGCUCGAGGGAGAUUACAACUUGGAGCUCAAAGAAUCACAAACUUUCAUCAUUAUCAUAUGGAGCUCUUUGUUGCUAUCAUUGGGGGGGUUCUCAGGGGGAACAUCAUUCUUGAUCUAGCAUGUUGAAAAGAUGGUCAACAACAACAUUGUGAAGUAACCCUUUGAUUUGUAUAUGUAACCUUGCUUGGAAAUAAGAAAUCAGAAACUUGCCAAGCUAGCUACUGUUGUUUCCAAUAUAUUCAAACAUUUGUAUGUCUGGUUCGUCAUGUACUUUUCUAACCUCAAUCAGAUAUUCGAAAGUAAUCGUCACCUUACUUA